rnacentral:rRNA from 1 species
UUGGCUUUACCCGAAGGCGUUUCGCUAACCGCAAGGAGGCAGCCAACCACGGUCAGGUCAGCGACUGGGGUGAAGUCGUAACAAGGUAGCCGUAGGUGAACCUGCAGAAGGAUCA